UCAGACUCCUGUGUAUAAUUAUAAUCAUGUAUUGUUCACUGAAAGAUGGUGCCGCGCAUGUUUUGGCCGUGUUUUAGUGGAACGUGUGUACAGAGUCACCUGUUGUUCGGACGUGUCUCUAAGAGCGCUUCGCCGGCAACGGGCUUCAGUUCAGGUUCUGCUCAAUAAUUAAAAGUGUCGCCAGUGGCUUCAGUGCAACGUAAGACGACGGAAUCCGCGCGCGCCUGCGUGCAGGACAUGCCAGUGGGAGAUCAGAGGUGCCCAGGGACGGGGGAGACAGAAUCGGUGAGGAAAGUCACUUCAAGGAAAAAUCGUUGUUCCACCUGCACGGGAGAAUCUGGUGAGAAACAAGAGCACAUCCUCUGAAUUCCUC
rnacentral:lncRNA from 1 species